rnacentral:lncRNA from 12 species
GCAUGUUUUGUGCUCGCCAUGGUCUUUCAGAGCCUACAGGGCGCUGCCAGGAUGGAUUUCACUGCCCUUCGGGUGCCACAAGUCCCAACGGCACUGGAAAUGUGGUAUAUAUCAUUAGUUCAGUUUCUUAAAAAAGACACCAUGUGUUCACAAAGGGUUAAACUCAUUUACAGUGUGUGAUUUGCAGAUUGAAUCUACAGGCAACAGCAUGUGCCCGCCUGGCCAUUAUUGCCCAACUGGUAUCGGCUCUCCUCUCCCAUGCCCCGCUGGAACAUUCUCCAGCUCUCCAGGGUUGAGUGGGGCGGAGCAGUGUCAGCCAUGUCCUCCUGGGUACUUCUGUGAGCAGACUGCUAUGGUCUAUCCAUCAGAAGCAGCUCUCUGUGAUGCUGGGUAAUUAUAUCUAUGCUUUUCAGUAGCUAAACAGUCAUCUGACAACGGUGCACCCACACCCACUUGAGUUGAGCCAACCUGGUGCACUCAUGCAUUGCUAAUGGAUCUUAGUGGCACGAUUUCAGAUGUUAAAGAUUUAUUGUCCAUUAUGGAGUAGUGCUGAAACUAUUAUUGAUAUUCUCCAUUACUGAAAUGUUAUGUAAAGUGCAAAUGAGUCAGGAAAGAUAACUUAUUAAAACGACUCUGUGGAUCCAGUUUCUAUCCAUUUGUGGCUGGGUUGGAAAACAGAUACAGUGGAGUGGCAGUGAAGUGCUUUUACGAUUGGGUCGUUGAGGAGAUUUAUUCAUCAGGCAUCUAAAACUUGGUGUAUGCUCAUAAAACAAUGAUUUUCUUUUGAAAUAUAGUUUAUGACAGCUUUAUUUCUCCCUCACAGAUAUGUGUGUAUCAAUGGCAGUCGUAGUGCUCGACCGGUAGAUGGACUGCAGGGUUAUAUUUGUCCAAGCGGACACAGUUGCCCCAUUGGUACUCCAUUGGAAGUGCCUUGUGAGCCUGGCACAUACAGCAGUGCUCCUGGUGCCACCCACUGUCUCUCAUGCCCAGCUGGCACUAUGUGUCCUUCCUCUGGCACACAGGAGCCAUCCCCAUGUCCCAUGGGUCAUUUUUGCCCUGUUGGCACUGCUGCAGCUGUACCCUGUCCUGUGGGCUCACUGGGACAGGUUACCAGAGCUCAAUCGGAGGCUGCCUGUGUGCCCUGCCCUACCGGCCUUUACUGCAGUUCACCUGGAACGUCACAACCACAGGGUCUGAUAUCAUCCCACACUUUUUUAUAAGAGCACAGGUUUUAGCCUGUGACUGUAUCAUAUGGACUAAUUGUUGUUUUGUAGGCCAGUGCCAGCAAGGUUAUUUCUGCCAAGGAGGGUCUCCAAAUCCUGCUCCUCUGAAUACAACUGGCUACCUCAGGAAUGGCCCCUGUCCGAAGGGUCACUUUUGCCCUUCUGGAACCCUUAUGCCUUUGCCUUGCCCAGCAGGCAGCAUUCGUAAUCUCACAGGGGGUUACUCCAUAGAAAGCUGUCUUCCCUGCCCAGCAGGACAUUACUGUGCUAGCGAGGGCCUGGAUGCUCCAACUGGACCCUGUGCUGCAGGCUUUUACUGCCCAGUAGACUUCUCCUCCACCACCCCACACGCCUUCCUCUGCCCCAAGGGUCAUUCCUGUCCCUUGGGCUCAACCCUGGCCUUGCCCUGCCCCACGGGACAGUACCAGCCAAAUCCGGGCUCGGAUAACUGCAUCCCCUGCCGUCCAGGCUAUUACUGUGAGGAGGCAAUUAUCGGAGACCCCCGGCCUUGCCCGCCACACUCCUACUGCCCUGCAGCAACAAUGGUUCCUCAGCCCUGUCCUAAUGGCACAUACACCCCACUUGAGGUGGGGGGUUUGCAGGAGGAGAGAGAGUGUUUGCCGUGUCCACCAGGAAAGUUCUGCAAGGCUGGCCAGGUGAAAGGCCCGUGUGCUGCUGGAUUCCUGUGCAUCUCUGGCAGUUCAGAAUUCACUCCUCAGGCCGCCUUUCUGCUAAACAGAGACCAGUGUGAGUGGGGAGCACAGUGUGCUGGACUGUGUCCUGCUGGCUUUUAUUGCCCUGUAGGCACAGAGGAACCUUUAUCUUGUCCUGCCAACACUAUAAGAGAAACCCCUGGAGCAAGUACUAUACAUGACUGUCUAACUUGUCCUCCAAGACACUGGUGCCAAGAGGGUGAUCCCAUCCCACGUAUGUGUCCACCAGGCUAUUACUGUGACGGAAUAGCUGAUUAUGAGUCUAAGGGGCGGCCGGGGCCUAGAGAAUGUCCCCUGUUUACAUACAGGCCCAUGUCUGGGGCAGGAAGCAAAGGAGACUGUCUUACCUGCCCCCCUGGCACUUUUUGUAACUCCACAGGGCUCACUGAUUUCUCAAGCUUCCUUUGUCCACCGGGUCAUUGGUGCAGUGGGACAGGUUUCCCCGUGCCCUGCCCUGCAGGCACCAUGAGGGCACAGGCAGGGGCAGCCGCUGUCAGUCAGUGUGAGCCUUGCCCUCCUGGUACCUUCUGCCCAGACCCUCGCACCUCGGGCCAGCCCAAUACAGCAGGCAUCCCAUGUCAAGCUUCUUACGAAUGUCCUGCAGGGUCAGUCACAGAGACCCUUUGCAGAGCUGGUUCAUACUGUAGACCCCAGACAGGAGAUCCCACACCGUGUCCUGCAGGAUACUUCUGUCCUGAAGGAUCUCGCACCUACAGCUCACCACAGCAAGUAUGUACUUUUCCACAUUACUGCCCAGCCAACAGCUCUACCAUGCUGUCCUGUCCGGAUGGCUGGAUGCCGCUGAACACCAGCGGUUUAAGGAAGUCUCAGGAGAGCAGCUGUGUGCUGUGUGGGGCCGGCACCUAUCGGCCCAGUCGCUCCCCUUACCUCCAGUGCCUCCUCUGCCCUCCAGGACAUCAAUGCCCUCCGGGCUCACACCAUUAUAGUGAUCAACCCUGUCCAGUUGGGUACUUUUGUCCACAAGGCAGCUCCAAUCCUGUUCCCUGCCCGCCUGGCUCAUAUGGAAACCGCACAAGUGCUGAAUCACCUGAGGAAUGUCACAAAUGCCCACCAGGGACCUUCAAUCACUUGCACGCCCAGAGAGCCUGUUUCCCCUGUGGGAGCUCAUCCACCUCAGAUGCAGGGGCGUCCUCUUGUACCUGCAUAGGCAAAAACCGUGCGUUCCAGCACUCAGAUGGGUCGUGCUUGUGUAAGACCGGUUUUGUCUUUUACAAUGAAUUAGACUUAAAAAGCUCCACCGCAGACAGUGAACUGGACUGCCAGCCUGAGGUAAGAUGCAUGCACUGA